GAAGUUGGCCGGAUAGUCGCUGAAUGCAUUUGCAUUGGGAGGAAAGUCCGGGCUCCAUAGAGCAAAGUGCUAGCUAACGGCUAGGCGUAGUGAUGCGAUGGAAAGUGCAGCAGAAAAUAUACCGCCUAUUUUGAUAGGUAAGGGUGAAAUGGUGUGGUAAGAGCGCACCGCGAUCUUAGUGAUAAGUUCGGCAAGGCAAACCCCACUUGGAGCAAGCUCAAAUAGGAAGGCAUUGGCGUUGCUCGCGCUGUCUUCGGGUAGAGUGCUAAAGGUGCUUGGUAACAUGCACUAUAGAUGAAUGACUAUCAUGACUUCUGUCAACAGAACCCGGCUUAUAGGCCAACUUCAAUC
rnacentral:RNase_P_RNA from 1 species